GGCUUUCUUCGCGGCGGAGUUCGACCGUCCACACAGUUGGUGGUCGAUUACAUCGACGCGCGCAAGUCCGAGUUCGGAGUGGAACCGAUCUGCCAGGAACUGCCGAUCGCCU
rfam:Actinobacteria bacterium 69-20 SCNpilot_cont_1000_bf_scaffold_26941, whole genome shotgun sequence.